UACGGAGGGUGCAAGCGUUGUCCGGAUUUAUUGGGUUUAAAGGGUCCGUAGGCGGUUUGGUAAGUCAGUGGUGAAAGCCCAUCGCUCAACGGUGGAACGGCCAUUGAUACUGCCAGACUUGAAUUAUUAGGAAGUAACUAGAAUAUGUAGUGUAGCGGUGAAAUGCUUAGAGAUUACAUGGAAUACCAAUUGCGAAGGCAGGUUACUACUAAUGGAUUGACGCUGAUGGACGAAAGCGUGGGUAGCGAACAGG
rnacentral:rRNA from 1 species